rnacentral:lncRNA from 1 species
ACUCUGGUGCUUAAUGAAAAUUCACACCAACAACUACCUUAUUGUAAAGAAAUACUAUACUAUGAUAAUAUAAUACUACAGUAUUUUUAAGGAUAUAAGAGCAUAAAGAUAUAAGGAUUAUUUCAGUCAAAAUAGGUAGUUGCUUUUAACUUAUGUUUCAAAUAGAUAGUUAUUUUUACUUGAAACUCAAAUAGAUAGCUACUUUUAAAUUGAAAGUAUAGCUAAAAAUUUAUUUCUAGUUCUCUAUUGCAAAAGUAUGCUUCUAACAAGAAUUAUUGUCCUUUGAUAUUUGAUGAGCAUAAAAUUUUGCUC